AGAGUUUGAUCAUGGCUCAGGAUGAACGCUGGCGGUAUGCUUAACACAUGCAAGUCGAACGAAAUCUUCGGAUUUAGUGGCGGACGGGUGAGUAACGCGUGAGAAUCUACUCUUAGAUUGGGGACAACAGUUGGAAACGACUGCUAAUACCGAAUGUGCCGAAAGGUAAAAGAUUUAUCGUCUGAGAAUGAGCUCGCGUUGGAUUAGCUAGUUGGAGUGGUAAUGGCACACCAAGGCGACGAUCCAUAACUGGUCUGAGAGGAUGACCAGUCACACUGGGACUGAGACACGGCCCAGACUCCUACGGGAGGCAGCAGUGGGGAAUUUUCCGCAAUGGGCGAAAGCCUGACGGAGCAAUACCGCGUGAGGGAGGAAGGCUCUUGGGUCGUAAACCUCUUUUAUUAGGGAAGAAGAUCUGACGGUACCUAAUGAAUCAGCUCGAAUGCCCCG
rnacentral:rRNA from 1 species